AUUGAACGCUGGCGGCAGGCCUAACACAUGCAAGUCGAGCGAGCGGCGGACGGGUGAGUAAUGUAUGGGGAUCUGCCUGAUGGCGGGGGAUAACUACUGGAAACGGUAGCUAAUACCGCAUACCAUCAGAUGAACCCAGAUGGGAUUAGCUAGUAGGUGGGGUAACGGCUCACCUAGGCGACGAUCCCUAGCUGGUAUGAGAGGAUGACCAGCAACAAUGGAACUUAGACACGGUCCAGAGUCGUACGGGAGGCAUCAGUGGGGAAUAUUGCACAAUGGGAGCAAGCCGGAUGCAGCCAUGCCGCGUGUAGGAAGAAGGCCUUCGGGUUGUAAAGUACUUUCAGAGAUGAGGCGUUACUCGCAGAAGAAGCACCGGCUAACUCCGUGCCAGCAGCCGCGGUAAUAC
rnacentral:rRNA from 1 species